AUUGAACGCUGGCGGCAGGCCUAACACAUGCAAGUCGAGCGGGGUUUUCGGACCUAGCGGCGGACGGGUGAGUAAUGCGUAGGAAGCUACCCGAUAGAGGGGGAUACCAGUUGGAAACGACUGUUAAUACCGCAUAAUGUCUACGGACCAAAGUGUGGGACCUUCGGGCCACAUGCUAUCGGAUGCGCCUACGUGGGAUUAGCUAGUUGGUGAGGUAAUGGCUCACCAAGGCGACGAUCCCUAGCUGGUUUGAGAGGAUGAUCAGCCACACUGGAACUGAGACACGGUCCAGACUCCUACGGGAGGCAGCAGUGGGGAAUAUUGGACAAUGGGCGCAAGCCUGAUCCAGCCAUGCCGCGUGUGUGAAGAAGGCCUUCGGGUUGUAAAGCACUUUCAGUAAGGAGGAAGAGUUGAGUGUUAAUAGUACUCAGCUUUGACGUUACUUACAGAAGAAGCACCGGCUAACUCUGUGCCAGCCGCCGCUGUAAUAC
rnacentral:rRNA from 1 species